rnacentral:rRNA from 1 species
AUACGUAGGUGGCAAGCGUUGUCCGGAUUUAUUGGGCGUAAAGCGAGCGCAGGCGGUUUCUUAAGUCUGAUGUGAAAGCCCCCGGCUCAACCGGGGAGGGUCAUUGGAAACUGGGAGACUUGAGUGCAGAAGAGGAGAGUGGAAUUCCAUGUGUAGCGGUGAAAUGCGUAGAUAUAUGGAGGAACACCAGUGGCGAAGGCGACUCUCGGGUCUGUAACUGACGCUGAGGCUCGAAAGCGUGGGGAGCAAACAGGAUUAAAUACCCUGGUUGUCCACGCCGUAAACGAUGAGUGCUAAGUGUUGGAGGGUUUCCGCCCUUCAGUGCUGCAGCUAACGCAUUAAGCACUCCGCCUGGGGAGUACGACCGCAAGGUUGAAACUCAAAGGAAUUGACGGGG